rnacentral:rRNA from 1 species
AAUAGAUACCCAGGUAGUCCUAGCCGUAAACGAUGAACACUAGGCGUAGUCGGUAUCGACCCCGGCUGUGCCGUAGCUAACGCAUUAAGUGUUCCGCCUGGGGAGUACGGCCGCAAGGCUAAAACUCAAAGGAAUUGACGGGGGCCCGCACAAGCAGCGGAGCGUGUGGUUUAAUUCGUCGCAACGCGAAGAACCUUACCAGGGCUUGACAUGUGGCGGAAAACGGCGGAAACGUCGUCCUCCCGCAAGGGACCGUCAUGCAGGUGUUGCAUGGCUGUCGUCAGUUCGUGUCGUGAGAUAUUGGGUUAAGUCCCGCAACGAGCGCAACCCCCGUGGCAUGUUGUAUCUCUCAUGCCAGACUGCCGAGAGAAACUCGGAGGAAGGUGGGGAUGACGCCAAGUCAGCAUGGCCCUUACGUCCUGGGCUACACACACGCUACAAUGGCCGGUACAACGGGUUGCCAAACCGCGAGGUGGAGCUAAUCCCUUAAAGCCGGUCUCAGUUCGGAUUGCAGGCUGCAACUCGCCUGCA